rnacentral:rRNA from 1 species
UACGUAGGAGGCAAACGUUAUUCGGAUUUACUGGGCGUAAAGGGAGCGUAGGCGGUUCCUUAAGUUGGAUGUGAAAUCUUCUGGCUCAACCAGAAGGUGCCAUUUGAUACUGAGGGACUUGAGAGCAGCAGAGGGAAAUGGAAUCUCCAGUGUAGCGGUGAAAUGCGUAGAUAUUGGAGAGAACACCAGUGGCAAAGGCGAUUUCCCAGGCUGCUUCUGACGCUGAGGUUCGAAAGCGUGGGGAGCGAAGCGGAUUAGAUACCCGCGUAGUCCACGCCCUAAACAGUGGACACUAGAUAUAGGAGGUAUCGACCCUUUCUGUGUCGAAGCUAACGCUUUAAGUGUCCCGCCUGGGGAGUACGGCCGCAAGGCUGAAACUCAAAGGAAUUGACGGGGGUCCGCACAAGCAGCGGAGCGUGUGGUUUAAUUCGAUGCUACACGAAGAACCUUACCAGGACUUGACAUGUCAGAAGUAGGAUUCCGAAAGGAAGACGACCUGUAUCCAGUCAGGAGCUGUCACAGGUGCUGCAUGGCUGUCGUCAGCUCGUGCCGUGAGGUGUUGGGUUAAGUCCCGCAACGAGCGCAACCCUUGUCCCAUGUUAAAUUCUCAUGGGAGACUGCCUUGUACAGCAAGGAGGAAGGAAAGGAUGACGUCAAGUCAGCACGGCCUUUAUGUCCUGGGCUACACACACGCUACAAUGGACGAUACAGAGGGUUGCCAAGGAGCGAUCCGGAGCUAAUCCCCGAAAAUCGUCCUCAGUUCGGAUUGCAGGCUGAAAUCGCCUGCAUGAAGUCGGAGUUGCUAGUAACCGCAGGUCAGCUAUACUGCGGUGAAUACGUUCUCGGGCCU